UUCGCAAUGCCCGAAAGGGUGACGAUGCGACGCCGCGUGGAGGAUGAAGGCUUUCGGGUUGUAAACUCCUGUCAGGGCAACAGAAGGGGAGGGGAGGAAACCCCCCGACCAUGACUGAGCCCAAAGGAAGCCCUUGCUAACUCCGUGCCAGCGGCAGCGGUAAUACGGAGAGGGCGAGCGUUGUUCGGAAUUACUGGGCGUAAAGGGCACGUAGGCGGGUCCGUAUGUCAGGGGUGAAGUCCCCCGGCCUAACCGGGGAAGGGCCUCUGAAACUGCGGGCCUCGAGUGAAGCAGAGGGGAGUGGAACUCUCGGUGGAGCGGUGAAAUGCGUUGAUAUCGAGGGGAACACCGGCGGCGAAGGCGACUCCCUAUGCUUCUACUGACGCUGAGGUGCGAAAGCCAGGGGAGCGAACGGGGUUAGAUACCCCGGUAGUCCUGGCCCUAAACGGUGGGCACUAAGUAGAGGGGUUUU
rnacentral:rRNA from 1 species